UGCCAGACUCCUACGGGAGGCAGCAGUGGGGAUAUUGCACAAUGGGGGAAACCCUGAUGCAGCGACGCCGCGUGUGGGAAGACGGUCCUCUGGAUUGUAAACCACUGUCCCCAGGGACGAAGAUGACGGUACCUGGGGAGGAAGCCCCGGCUAACUACGUGCCAGCAGCCGCGGUAAUACGUAGGGGGCGAGCGUUAUCCGGAUUUACUGGGUGUAAAGGGAGCGUAGACGGCUGGUCAAGUCUGAAGUGAAAGCCCGGGGCUUAACCCCGGAACGGCUUUGGAAACUGAGCAGCUAGAGUGCUGGAGAGGUAAGCGGAAUUCCUAGUGUAGCGGUGAAAUGCGUAGAUAUUAGGAGGAACACCAGUGGCGAAGGCGGCUUACUGGACAGUAACUGACGUUGAGGCUCGAAAGCGUGGGGAGCAAACAGGAUUAGAUACCCUCGUA
rnacentral:rRNA from 1 species